UAGUGGAGUGAAUCAGCUGCCGCAAACACUGGUGUUGGUAACGGGAAGCUGCAGCAGUCCUGUGUUCUCUGUCUGUUGGGUUCUAAACGUCAGCGCCUCCGCGAAGAGACCAGAUACCAAGAUAUGGCUGGACAGCAAUGAACUUACACCCAUAGGAAGUAAAGGCAAAAUGGUGUCGUUGAUGGUAACGACACUGGAUGUACACACAUUACGCGCGGACUAUGAAGGAAUCUCCCAUGUGUGGAACUUUUCAGUUGUUUCCAAUUCCAUCAGUGUGAGCAGCAGUGCGCACAGAACUGCGUAUCUCCCCCCCAGCGGAAGUGGGGUGAGUGUUACUGAUGUUUCAAUCUAGCUGAUGACUGUUGUCAUGGUCAAUAAUAGAAACUGCUAGACAUAUGUUUUCCAAAAUAUGGUCCAUUGCCUCGGUCUUGUGACAGAUUAAUGGCGCUCUUAAAUUAUGCUGCAGGCCACUUAAUUUGAACAACUACUUCUGUAAAGAUGGGAACUGGACUUGUAACCCAAAGGUUACUGGUUCAAUUCCCAGGUAGGGUGCUGCUGUUAUACUCUUGAGCAAGGUGCUUGAUGUGAAUAUAUAUAUAUAUAUAUAUAUAGUAUUCAGCUGAAAAAAUGGAUACAAUGUAUAAAUAGUUCAAGUUGUGUAAGUUGCUCUGGAUAAGAGCAUCUGCUAAAUUCUAGUGAUGCAACGUGUGUAAAUAUGCAUUCAAAAAGCUGCUGCUGUUAUCGUGACAGUCAAAUUGUGCUGAAAAAUGUAUGCUGAUUUUUAAAAGCAUUUUGCUGUGAAUAAAUAUGCUGUAGAGCAGUGCUGCUCAAACUUGGCCCUCA